GGGGUUGUGGCUCAGUGGUAGAGCGCUUAUCUGGCAUGUGUGAGACACUGGGUUCUAUCCCCAGUACCA
rnacentral:tRNA from 1 species